CGGCUUACCUCGGGGUGCCUGCGUCAAAACGCGCAGGCUGAGAUGCACACUGCGAACCCGUUGAACCUGAACCGGUUAAGACCGGCGGAGGGAAGGUCGAGGGAAUGAGU
rnacentral:ncRNA from 2 species